AUUGAACGCUGGCGGCAGGCCUAACACAUGCAAGUCGAACGGUAACAGGAAACAGCUUGCUGUUUCGCUGACGAGUGGCGGACGGGUGAGUAAUGUCUGGGAAACUGCCUGAUGGAGGGGGAUAACUACUGGAAACGGUAGCUAAUACCGCAUAACGUCGCAAGACCAAAGAGGGGGACCUUCGGGCCUCAUGCCAUCGGAUGUGCCCAGAUGGGAUUAGCUAGUAGGUGGGGUAACGGCUCACCUAGGCGACGAUCCCUAGCUGGUCUGAGAGGAUGACCAGCCACACUGGAACUGAGACACGGUCCAGACUCCUACGGGAGGCAGCAGUGGGGAAUAUUGCACAAUGGGCGCAAGCCUGAUGCAGCCAUGCCGCGUGUAUGAAGAAGGCCUUCGGGUUGUAAAGUACUUUCAGCGGGGAGGAAGGGAGUAAAGUUAAUACCUUUACUCAUUGACGUUACCCGCAGAAGAAGCACCGGCUAACUCCGUG
rnacentral:rRNA from 1 species